CGCACAUUGCGCCCAUUAGUAUUCUAGUGGGCAUGCCUGUUCGAGCGUCAUUUCAACCCUCAAGCCCAGCUUGGUGUUGGGGGAGUCCUCAGUAAAAGAAGACCCCCCGAAAAGUAUUGGCGGUGCUCGUCGGGUACUCCAUGCGCAGUAAAUUUCAAUUUCGUAUGGGUGCCUGCGGUGCUUGCUUGCCACUAUAAACCAGAACGGUUGACCUCGGAUCAGGUAGGAAUACCCGCUGAACUUAA
rnacentral:misc_RNA from 1 species